rnacentral:rRNA from 1 species
UUGCGGUUAAAAAGCUCGUAGUUGGAUUUCUGCAUUGAAGGAGCGGUCCACCCUUUGGGCGAGUUACUGCUACCUUUAGUGCAUCUUUCUGGGGACGUGUUCUUCACUUAAUUGUGAGGGCGCAGGACUCAGGACUUUUACUUUGAGGAAAUGAGAGUGUUUCAAGCAGGCAAAUGCCUUGAAUACGUUAGCAUGGAAUAAUAGCAUCGGACCAUCGUCCAGCUGUUGGUGUCUGGGCGAAGGUAAAGGUGAAUAGGGAUUGUUGGGGGCAUUCGUAUUUAACUGUCAGAGGUGAAAUUCUUGGAUUUGUUGAAGACGGACCACUGCGAAAGCAUCUGCCAAAGAUGUUCUCAUUGAUCAAGAACGAAAGUUAGGUGAUCGAAGACGAUCAGAUACCGUCCUAGUCUUAACCAUAAACUAUGCCGACUGGAGAUAGGAAGCGUUUAUCUUACGACUCUUUCUGCAUCUUGAGAGAAAUCAAAGUCUUUGGGUUCCGGGGGGAGUAUGGUCGCA